AUUGAACGCUGGCGGCAGGCUUAACACAUGCAAGUCGAGCGAGCGGCGGACGGGUGAGUAAUGUCUGGGAAACUGCCUGAUGGAGGGGGAUAACUACUGGAAACGGUAGCUAAUACCGCAUACCAUCAGAUGUGCCCAGAUGGGAUUAGCUAGUAGGUGGGGUAAUGGAUCACCUAGGAGACGAUCCCUAGCUGGUCUGAGAGGAUUACCAGCCACACGGGACCGUAGACAAGGGCCAGAGUCAUACGGGAGGCAGCAGUGGGGAAUAUUGCACAAGGGGCGCAAGCCUGAGGCAGCCAUGCCGCGUGUGUGAAGAAGGCCUUCGGGUUGUAAAGCACUUUCAGCGAGGAGGCGUGACUCGCAGAAGAAGCACCGGCUAACUCCGUGCCAGCAGCCGCGGUAAUUC
rnacentral:rRNA from 1 species